rnacentral:rRNA from 1 species
GACGUAGGGGGCGAGCGUUGUUCGGAAUUAUUGGGCGUAAAGGGUGCGUAGGCGGUUUGUUAAGUCUGCUGUGAAAUCCCCGGGCUCAACCUGGGAAUGGCAGUGGAUACUGGCAAGCUAGAGUGUGUCAGAGGAUGGUGGAAUUCCCGGUGUAGCGGUGAAAUGCGUAGAGAUCGGGAGGAACAUCAGUGGCGAAGGCGGCCAUCUGGGGACAACAC